rnacentral:rRNA from 1 species
AGAGUUUGAUCAUGGCUCAGGAUGAACGCUGGCGGCGUGCUUAACACAUGCAAGUCGAACGAACCUUCGGGUUAGUGGCGGACGGGUGAGUAACGCGUGAGAAUCUGCCCUCAGGAGGGGGAUAACGGUUGGAAACGACCGCUAAUACCCCAUAUGCCUACUGGUGAAACGAAUUUCGCCUGAGGAUGAGCUCGCGUCUGAUUAGCUAGUUGGUGAGGUAAUGGCUCACCAAGGCUUCGAUCAGUAGCUGGUCUGAGAGGAUGAUCAGCCACACUGGGACUGAGACACGGCCCAGACUCCUACGGGAGGCAGCAGUGGGGAAUUUUCCGCAAUGGGCGAAAGCCUGACGGAGCAACGCCGCGUGAGGGACGAAGGCCUCUGGGCUGUAAACCUCUUUUCUCAAGGAAGAAGAUAUGACGGUACUUGAGGAAUAAGCCACGGCUAAUUCCGUGCCAGCAGCCGCGGUAAUACGGGAGUGGCAAGCGUUAUCCGGAAUUAUUGGGCGUAAAGCGUCCGCAGGCGGCUUUUCAAGUCUGCUGUUAAAGCGUGGAGCUUAACUCCAUCAUGGCAGUGGAAACUGAAAGGCUUGAGUAUGGUAGGGGCAGAGGGAAUUCCCGGUGUAGCGGUGAAAUGCGUAGAUAUCGGGAAGAACACCAGUGGCGAAGGCGCUCUGCUGGGCCAUUACUGACGCUCAUGGACGAAAGCCAGGGGAGCGAAAGGGAUUAGAUACCCCUGUAGUCCUGGCCGUAAACGAUGAACACUAGGUGUCGGGGGAAUCGACCCCUUCGGUGUCGUAGCUAACGCGUUAAGUGUUCCGCCUGGGGAGUACGCACGCAAGUGUGAAACUCAAAGGAAUUGACGGGGGCCCGCACAAGCGGUGGAGUAUGUGGUUUAAUUCGAUGCAACGCGAAGAACCUUACCAGGGUUUGACAUCCUGCGAACCUCUUAGAAAUUUGAGGGUGCCUUCGGGAAUGCAGUGACAGGUGGUGCAUGGCUGUCGUCAGCUCGUGUCGUGAGAUGUUGGGUUAAGUCCCGCAACGAGCGCAACCCACGUUUUUAGUUGCCAGCAUUUAGUUGGGCACUCUAGAAAGACCGCCGGUGAUAAACCGGAGGAAGGUGUGGAUGACGUCAAGUCAUCAUGCCCCUUACACCCUGGGCUACACACGUACUACAAUGCUACGGACAAAGGGCAGCAAACUCGCGAGAGCUAGCAAAUCCCAUAAACCGUGGCUCAGUUCAGAUCGUAGGCUGCAACUCGCCUACGUGAAGUAGGAAUCGCUAGUAAUCGCAGGUCAGCAUACUGCGGUGAAUACGUUCCCGGGCCUUGUACACACCGCCCGUCACACCAUGGAAGUUGGCCAUGCCCGAAGUCGUUACUCCAACCCUUGUGGAGGAGGACGCCGAAGGUGGGGCUAAUGACUGGGGUGAAGUCGUAACAAGGUA